rnacentral:rRNA from 1 species
CCUACGGGUGGCAGCAGUGAGGAAUAUUGGUCAAUGGGCGGAAGUCUGAACCAGCCAAGCCGCGUGCAGGAAGAAGGCACAAUGAAUUGUAAACUGCUUUUGUACGGGGAUAAAGGCGGGGACGCGUCUCUGUCUGAGAGUAUCGGACGAAAAAGCAUCGGCUAACUCCGUGCCAGCAGCCGCGGUAAUACGGAGGAUUCGAGCGUUAUCCGGAUUUAUUGGGUUUAAAGGGUGCGUAGGCGGUCGGAUAAGUUAGAGGUGAAAGCCCGAGGCUCAACUUCGGAGUUGCCUUUGAGACUGGUCGGCUAGAGAGUAGUUGAGGUAGGCGGAAUGUAUGGUGUAGCGGUGAUAUGCUUAGAGAUCAUACAGAACACCGAUUGCGAAGGCAGCUUACCAAGCU